rnacentral:rRNA from 1 species
AGUCAAUAGAUACCCGGGUAGUCCACGCCGUAAACUAUGGAUGCUAGCUGUUAUCGGUAUCGACCCCGGUAGUAGCGAAAGCUAAACGCGUUAAGCAUCCCGCCUGUGGAGUACGAGCGCAAGCUUAAAACAUAAAGGAAUUGACGGGGACCCGCACAAGCGGUGGAGCGUGUUGUUUAAUUCGACGGUAAACGAAGAACCUUACCCAGGCUUGACAUCCUGCUAAGAUUUCCGAAAGGAAAUUGUGCCUUCGGGCCGCAGUGACAGGUGCUGCAUGGUCGUCGUCAGCUCGUGUCGUGAGAUGUUUGGUUAAGUCCAUCAACGAGCGCAACCCUUAUAGUCAGUUGGAUUUUUCUGGCUAGACUGCCCCGGUAACGGGGAGGAAGGAGGGGAUGAUGUCAGAUCAUUAUUGCCCUUACGUCUGGGGCUACAAACACGCUACAAUGGCCGGUACAAAGGGCAGCAACCCGCGAGGGGGAGCAAAUCCCAUCAAAGCCGGUCUCAGUUCGGAUUGUAGGCUGAAACUCGCCUGCAUGAAGCUGGAAUC